rnacentral:rRNA from 1 species
UACGAAGGGGGCUAGCGUUGUUCGGAUUUACUGGGCGUAAAGGGCGCGUAGGCGGCCACCGCAAGUCAGUUGUGAAAUCUCUGGGCUUAACCCAGAACGGUCAGCUGAUACUGCGGGGCUAGAGUGCAGAAGGGGCAACUGGAAUUCUCGGUGUAGCGGUGAAAUGCGUAGAUAUCGAGAGGAACACCUGCGGCGAAGGCGGGUUGCUGGGCUGACACUGACGCUGACAGCGCGAAAGCUAGGGGAGCGAACGGG